UACGUAGGGUGCAAGCGUUAAUCGGAAUUACUGGGCGUAAAGCGUGCGCAGGCGGUUCUAUAAGACAGAUGUGAAAUCCCCGGGCUCAACCUGGGAACUGCAUUUGUGACUGUAGAGCUGGAGUACGGUAGAGGGGGAUGGAAUUCCGCGUGUAGCAGUGAAAUGCGUAGAUAUGCGGAGGAACACCGAUGGCGAAGGCAAUCCCCUGGACCUGUACUGACGCUCAUGCACGAAAGCGUGGGGGAGCAACAGG
rnacentral:rRNA from 1 species